UACGGGGGGGGCAAGCGUUGUUCGGAAUUACUGGACGUAAAGGGCGCGUAGGCGGCUUUGCAAGUGACGGGUGAAAGCCCUCGGCUUAACCGAGGAACUGCCUGUCAGACUGUAAGGCUUGAGACCGGGAGAGGUGAGUGGAAUUCCCAGUGUAGCGGUGAAAUGCGUAGAUAUUGGGAGGAACACCAGUGGCGAAGGCGGCUCACUGGACCGGAACUGACGCUGAGGCGCGAAAGCGUGGGGAGCAAACAGG
rnacentral:rRNA from 1 species